rnacentral:rRNA from 1 species
AAGGAAUAUUGGACAAUGGGCGGAAGCCUGAUCCAGCCAUCCCGCGUGCUUGAUGAAGGCCCUCUGGGUUGUAAAGAGCUUUAGUCUGGGAAGAAACUUGUUUCUGCGGAAGCAACUGACGGUACCAGAAGAAUAAGCACCGGCUAACUCCGUGCCAGCAGCCGCGGUAAUACGGAGGGUGCAAGCGUUAUCCGGAUUUACUGGGUUUAAAGGGUGCGUAGGCGGCACUAUAAGUCAGGGGUGAAAGCCUACGGCUUAACCGUAGAAAUGCCUUUGAUACUGUAGUGCUUGAAUUAGAUUGAGGUCGGCGGAAUGUGGCAUGUAGCGGUGAAAUGCAUAGAUAUGCCAUAGAACACCAAUUGCGAAGGCAGCUGACUAAGUCUAGAUUGACGCUGAGGCACGAAAGCGUGGGGAGCAAAC